AUUUAAGAGCUGCGCUCUUGUCGGUGGAGUAACCGCCAUUCCUCUUUUCUUCCCGCCAAAACCUUCACCUCCCGAUACGACACGACCUGCACCUUCUCUUUUAUUUGUUUCAUAAAUGUUAUCCUAGGUCUACCCCUUCCUCUCUACCCUUCAAUUUUUCCUUCUAUAAUGUUUGUUAUAAAUGAAUCGUGUCGUAUCAGGUGGCCAAUCAUAUUUCCUCUCCGGUUCUCUAUAGUCUUCAAUAUGGUUCUCUUUUCUUCAACA